rnacentral:misc_RNA from 1 species
AACUUUUGACAACGGAUCUCUUGGCUCUCGCAUCGAUGAAGAACGCAGCGAAAUGCGAUACGUAAUGUGAAUUGCAGAGUUCAGUGAAUCAUCGAAUCUUUGAACGCACAUUGCACUCUCUGAUAUUCCGGAGAGUAUGCUUGUUUGAGUAUCAGUAAACACCUCAAAUCUCUUCUCUCUUGAGAAGAGACUUGGACUUGAGCAAUCCCAACUCUUUGCAAAAAGGGGCGGGUUGCUUGGAAUGCAGGCGCAGCUGGCCAUUCCUCUGAGCCAAAAGCGUAUUUAUUUAUACCCGUCAAAAGGAUUAUUACUUUUGCUCUAGCUAAUAUAAAGGGUGAAUGUGCAAUAUGCUGACUGAUGCAGGAUUACCAAGUUUUACUAGCUAAAACUUGUAAACUCGAUCUCAAAUCAAGUAAGACUACUCGCUGAACUUAAGCAUAUUACUAAGCGGAGGC